CCGUCAGCGUGCGGCCGCGGUCCCGGAAGGGCGCCCAUGGAGCCAGGCCUGUCGGGCGAACGGCGGAGUAUGGCGCCGCUGUUGGAGUACGAGAGGCAGCAGGUGCUGGAACUGCUCGACAGCGACGGGCUGGUGGUGUGUGCCCGCGGACUCGGCACCGACCGGCUCCUCUACCAUUUCCUGCGGCUUCACUGCCACCCGGCCUGCCUGGUGCUGGUGCUCAACACGCAGCCGGCCGAGGAGGAAUAUUUUAUCAAUCAGUUGAAGAUAGAAGGAGUUGAACAUCUCCCUCGACGAGUGACAAAUGAAAUCGCAAGUAACAGUCGCUAUGAAGUCUACACGCAGGGUGGUAUUAUAUUUGCAACAAGCCGAAUACUCGUGGUUGAUUUCUUGACAGGUAGAAUACCUUCAGAUUUAAUAACUGGCAUCCUCGUGUACAGGGCACACAGAAUCAUUGAGUCCUGCCAGGAAGCCUUCAUCCUGCGCCUCUUCCGCCAGAAAAACAAGCGCGGGUUCAUCAAAGCUUUCACCGACAACGCUGUUGCCUUUGACACUGGCUUUUGUCACGUGGAAAGAGUGAUGCGGAACCUUUUUGUGAGGAAGCUCUACCUGUGGCCAAGGUUCCAUGUAGCAGUCAACUCAUUCUUGGAACAACACAAGCCUGAAGUUGUAGAGAUUCACGUGUCCAUGACUCCCGCCAUGCUUGCCAUUCAGACGGCCAUACUAGACAUCUUAAAUGCAUGUCUGAAAGAACUGAAAUGUCACAACCCGUCACUUGAAGUAGAAGAUUUGUCACUAGAAAACGCUCUUGGGAAGCCAUUCGACAAGACAAUCCGCCAUUACUUGGACCCUUUGUGGCAUCAGCUUGGAGCCAAGACUAAAUCCUUGGUGCAGGAUUUAAAGAUACUAAGAACCUUACUGCAGUAUCUCUCUCAGUAUGAUUGUGUUACAUUUCUGAAUCUUCUGGAAUCUCUGAGAGCAACAGAGAAGGUGUUUGGUCAGAAUUCAGGUUGGCUUUUCCUGGAUGCUAGCACCUCCAUGUUUGUGAAUGCUCGUGCCCGAGUUUACCGAGUUCCAGAUGUCAAACUGAACAAAAAGGCCAAAACAUCAGAAAAGACGUCGAGUCCAGAAGUUCAAGAAACAAAAAAAGAACUGGUUCUAGAGAGCAAUCCAAAGUGGGAGGCGCUGACUGACGUCCUGAAAGAAAUCGAAGCAGAAAAUAAGGAGAGCGAAGCCCUUGGUGGCCCAGGCCGGGUGCUGAUCUGUGCAAGCGAUGACCGCACGUGCUGCCAGCUGAGAGACUACCUGUCCGCCGGAGCAGAAACCUUCCUGCUGCGACUUUAUAGGAAAACUUUUGAGAAGGAUGGCAAAGCUGAAGAAGUGUGGGUAAAUGUUAGAAAGGGGGACGGCCCGAAGAGAACUACAAAAUCUGACAAAAGACCAAAAGCCGCUCCAAACAAGGAGCGUGCUUCCGCCAAAAGGGGGGCCCCUCUCAAAAGGAAGAAGCAAGAGCUGACUCUGACGCAAGUUUUGGGGUCCGCUGAGGAGCCGCCGGAGGACAAGGCUUUGGAGGAAGACCUGUGCAGACAGACCAGUAGUAGCCCAGAAGGCUGCGGGGUAGAGAUUAAGCGUGAAUCAUUUGAUUUAAAUGUGUCGUCUGAUGCGGCCUAUGGCAUCCUGAAAGAGCCCCUGACCAUCAUCCAUCCGCUUCUAGGGUGCAGCGACCCCUAUGCCCUGACGCGGGUACUGCACGAGGUGGAGCCCAGAUACGUGGUUCUGUAUGAUGCAGAGCUCACCUUUGUUCGCCAACUGGAGAUCUACAGGGCUAGCAGGCCUGGGAAACCUCUGAGGCAAGUCUGUGCCUGACAGUUCUGCAGGCUUUAAUACAAAAACUGGCCUUCAAUGGUGGCUUUCUUACCUUUAACAAACCACGAUGAGGCUGGUUUGAUGCUGCUUUCUGGUGAACGAUAGAACGUUCCAGAUGGAUGUCAGUCACCCAGGCUGAACUGCAAGCCUCCGGCACCCCUGGCAUUUUCCCGUACCCUGCUCAUAUUCUUUCUUUAUGUCUGAGUGUGUCUCUUACAGGUACAGUUUCUGGAAAAUCUAGGAAAUUGAUAAUGUUCUGUGCAAUACCAAAGGGUUUACUUUCUUAUAUACGGAGGCUCCACGGAAGAGCAGCGCUACCUGACUGCUCUGCGGAAAGAAAAGGAAGCCUUUGAAAAGCUCAUAAGAGAAAAAGCUAGCAUGGUUGUCCCCGAAGAACGGGAAGGCAGAGAUGAGACCAACCUGGACCUAGCAAGAGGCUCAGCAGCCCUGGAUGCUCCCACGGACACUCGGAAAGCCGGUGGCCAGGAGCAGAAUGGCACCCAGUCCAGCAUCGUGGUGGACAUGCGUGAGUUUCGGAGCGAGCUCCCAUCUCUGAUCCAUCGGCGGGGUAUUGACAUAGAGCCAGUGACUCUGGAGGUGGGUGAUUACAUCCUGACACCUGAGCUGUGUGUGGAGCGCAAAAGUGUGAGCGACCUCAUUGGCUCGCUGCACAGUGGCCGCCUGUACAGCCAGUGCCUAGCCAUGUCUCGCUACUACCGGAGGCCUGUGCUGCUCAUUGAGUUUGACCCGAGCAAGCCCUUCUCCCUGGCGCCACGAGGUGCCUUCUUCCAGGAGAUGAGCAGCAGCGAUGUGAGCUCCAAGCUUACGCUCCUCACCUUGCACUUCCCGCGUUUGCGGCUGCUCUGGUGCCCCUCACCCCACGCCACAGCCGAGCUGUUUGAGGAGCUGAAGCAGAACAAGCCACAGCCUGAUGCGGCCACAGCCAUGGCCAUCACCGCAGACUCAGAGACACUGCCUGAGUCGGACAGAUAUAACCCCGGCCCCCAAGACUUUGUGCUGAAGAUGCCUGGGGUCAACGCCAAGAACUGUCGCUCCCUGAUGAACCAAGUGAAGAACAUCGCAGAGCUGGCCACCCUGUCCCUGGAACGACUCACAACCAUCCUGGGGCACUCGGGAAAUGCCAAGCAGCUGCACGACUUCCUGCACACUGCCUAUGCAGACUUGGUGUCCAAAGGCAGAGUGAGAAAGUGACUGUUCUCACAUGGCUAUUUAUUGAUCAUUUGCAUAGCAAUUCAUUCUUUCCCCCCAGGAAUGUCCCCCAGGGCAUUGGUCCAGAGCCAGAACUUCCCCCUGGGCUCUGUACUGAGGUGUGGGCCUGUCUUCCCUUGCUGGCUCUCACCCCUCUGUGCUCUGUCUGUGCCAGGCCUGCACUGAUCCAUUUUCAAUAAGGUGUGGUGAGAUCUUGCCCCUUGAAGUAAACACAGACUAUGUUUACUUUUCAGGCUGGUAAAAGCACUGCACCAUGGUCCUAACACUGGCUGCACAGGGCUUGGUAGGCCUGAGACAGGACUGCUGUUGCUUCUUCCCCACCCACACAGAGACAAGCUAGCCCUCUAGCCUCCUGGUCACCAGGUAUAUGUAACGUGUACUGUGACUCGGUUGUGUUUUUCACAGAAUUAAUUGCUUACGGACAAGAUUGGAUGAGGUAAUAAAGGGCUCCUCAGAAUUCUUGGUUUCUCAGUGUUUGAGCUCCAAAUUCCUACUCUAAGCCCAAAUGACAAGUCUAAGUGUCCCCCACUUCACUGGUGUUAGAUGCCAGUGCCAUACCAGAAGCACACAGGGCAUCUCUGCCCUGCCCGUGGUCCUGUCCUGACUGCUUCUCCUUUCCUGGGUGAGGACUGGAUGUGAGCAAAGGUGGGCCAGGUGCUUCUAGAUGUAGAUUUCUCUCCUUCUUAGUAUAGGGUUGUGAAUAAAUGGGUAAAUCAGCUCAGAGAACACAUAAGGAUUCAAAAGAAAUACAUAGGUGUUUAAAGGCCCACAAACCAAUCUCAUGAUUGAUUGAGACAGGAUGUUCUGUGUUAAAAUGGGAUUCAUCGCAUCUUCAUGAUGUUUGCAAACUGUGAUACUUAAGCGUUAGCUGUUUAUGUGUUCAGGGACAAGCAGUAAAGUUUCUACCUCAAGAACUAAUGCCACGUGAAUUCUAGCUUGCCACAUGGUUGAGUAUUCCAUCCGUGUCAGCCGUCUUUGGCUGAACUGAUAAAAAAGUGGACCUUGUAACAAAAAUACUGUCUCCUCCAACUUUAACAAAAGCACUCUGAGCUGAACCUUAUAUGUUGGCAUCAUGAUUCUUGAUACUUAACAAUAUAGUUGUCCCUCAGUAUCCAUAGUUCCAGGACCCUCUCUGAUGGUACAUUCUGUGCAGGCUGCAGGCCUUCAGUGGUGUUUGCUUAUAGCCUCUGCCUCCCCCUGUGAACUUCAAACCACAGCAACUUCAAGCUCACAGCAACUGCGUCGGGACAGGUGGUAACAGCUGGUUCCCUGUGCUCCGGAGCCUGCGUGUUUAGAAGAGAUCAGUUGUUCCUCUAUUUCCAGUCCUUGGUUAGUUAAACCCAAGGAUGCAAGAGGACAUCCCCUGAGCAUCCUGUCCAGAGCCCUUCAGGAACGAAUGUCAAGGGCUGUCAAGGCAUAGUCGAUUAUUGGAGGCAUGGAAAACGGGAAGGAUGAAGCAGUAAGCUUAUGAUGGAGAGGGGUAGAGAAUGGAAAGGAUGAAGCAGUAAGCUUACAGUGGAAAGGAAUCUAAGCUACUUGUUUCCACCCAGGGUUAAAAAUGCAUUUGCCUUCUGGACCAUGACAGAACUGCCUGGUGAGUCGCACUGGGCAGUGUGGUCAUUCCCAACUCGUGAACACAGACAUCCACUUCUACUUACGGUAACAGUCCCCCUCCUCCAUGUAACUCUGCCUCCCUUUUCUGUUGUUUUGUUCCAUAAAACAAAAAUCUUAACAUAGCACAUGCUAUGGUGGGUGUUUCGUUCAAAGUUAAAAUUUCAAAGCUCUUCUAGACAUUGUUUUAAACAGUCCUUGUUACCUAGUGCAGCAAUCUGUAACCCCGGGCUUCCCGUGUCUGUCAGCUCGAGUCGGCUGUUCACUGUGACACCCAUGGCUGGGCUUCUGUUGCCUCACUCCCUCCUCUGCUGACAGGCUCACACGUUGCCAGAGGUGGAAGGCUUCCCGCACAUCCAUCCGUUGUUUGGUUUUCUGAUACUUUUUUUUUUUUUUACACAUUUUUAGAAUCUGACUUUGUUUCCCAGCAGCAUUUUGCUACCUUUGAUGUUGUUGUUGUUGUUCAAAAUUAUAGAUACUGAUGAGCUCCCAGGUAGCUUUUAAAAGCUAGGUCUGCACUGUGGUUCCCGGCUGCUUACAUAGAGCCUUGAUAAGAAAUGAUCCUUGAUUCGGGCAGUGGUGGCACAUGCCUUUAAUCCCAGCACUUGGGAGGCAGAGGCAGGUGGAUUUCUGAGUUCGAGGCCAGCCUGGUCUACAGAGUUCAAGAACAGCCAGGGCUACACAGAGAAACCCUGUCUCAAGAGAAAAAAAAAGAAAAAAGAAAAAAAAGAAACUAUCCUUGCUUAAGCACCUCUCUUGGUGUUCUUAGAACUAUAUGAGGUGAUAGCCUCCUUAAUAGUAGCCAUCAAGGCAAACCUGGUAGCCCACAGCCCUAACUAAUCCCAGCUCUAGGGAGACAGAGGCAGGUGGAUCUCUGUGACUUUAAGGCUAGCCUGCUCUAUAUAGUGAGUUCCAAGUUAGCCAGGGCUAUGUAGUAAUACCUGUCUUAAAAACAAAUGUGGUGGCCAUCAGCCCUGUCCUCAGUAGUCCUGACUCCCUUUGGUGAGUGCUCACUGGACUGUAGGCCCACAGCUGUUUGGGAGCCCUGUGGUGUAAUCCCCAGUUGACAGGGGACGGGAAAUGCUCUCGUCCAGCCCUCACCAGGUCUGCGUUGUUGAGAUGCAGGGACUUCGUGAGGAGGGAGGCUCUGUUCCAGGCUUCAUUUGCUUCUCCGGUGGAUUUGCUGUCACACUGCCUUGGAGAACCCGUUGAGGGAAAUUCUCCAUUAGUUUUGCUUGACUUUAAAAUGUCUCCUCAAAAGGAUUUUAAGAAAAAGAUGACAGUGCAGCCAGGCUUUGGCAAAAAUUGUCACUUUCCUUGGUUAUGUUGUCCUCAUUCUGAUGCUAUUUCCUGUGUGAUUCUGAGCUACGGCACACAGUUGUCCAUCUUUUUCAGCAGGACUUGGUAGUCUGUACCAUUGGGCUGUUGGAGUAUUAUUUAUUUCUGUUGUUUUAAUUUAUGGCUCCAUAAGCCAAGAUUUGGUAAAAGGGAGAGAAAACUGAAAUAUAUUUACUCAUAAUGGGGGAGGGGGAUUAUUUAGUAUCUUCCUCAGCUUCCUGGGCAAAGUAAAAAUGUCAGUGCAUGGUCAGAGGGCGCUUGUUGCCAGCCACGCACCAGUGCACAGUGAGGUGUUCUUUAUGCAGAACAGUUGGCUAACGCAGGUUUGCUCUGAGUCGCUGCUUCUACCUGGCUCCAGUAACGCACGUUCUUGUGUCAUCAAUGUGAUGUUCUUGGCUGCUCCUUCCUAAUGCUGUGACGUCUCCUUAACCAAAGAAGCUGCGGGGAAAAGCUGUUGUCCUUUGGAAAUACCAGUUAGUUGAAAAUGGCAAGCAUGUGGUGUCUGGGGCAUCCAAACAAAGGGUCAGCCCCUGUAUUUUUAUUCCUUUUAACUCACAGGUUGGAAGAGGUAAAUUGUUCUUUUGAUAACCCAGGAAUUUAUUAUUAUUUCUUAAGCAAGUUUAAUUAUACUUUGAAUUGGGUCACCACAGUGGUGUCCCCGUUGCUGCCUCUGCUUUGAAUGUCCGUGCACAGCCCUUUCUAACGUCCAGGAGACCGGUUAUUUUUCAGCGUUGUAUCCUCUGAAUAAAGACUGGCAAAAUAUUGAA